rnacentral:tRNA from 1 species
GGGCCGGUAGCUCAGUUGGGAGAGCAUCGCGUUCGCAAUGCGAAGGCAGGAGUUCGAUUCUCCUCCGGUCCACCA